rnacentral:rRNA from 1 species
UACGUAGGGGGCAAGCGUUGUCCGGAUUUAUUGGGCGUAAAGAGCGUGUAGGCGGCCUGAAAGGUCAGCUGUGAAAACUCGAGGCUCAACCUCGAGACGUCGGUUGAAACCAUCUGGCUAGAGUCCGGAAGAGGAGUGUGGAAUUCCCGGUGUAGCGGUGAAAUGCGCAGAUAUCGGGAAGAACACCCGUGGCGAAGGCGGUUCUCUGGGACGGUACUGACGCUGAGACGCGAAAGCGUGGGGAGCGAACAGGAUUAGAUACCCGGAG